AACGAACGCUGGCGGCGUGCCUAACACAUGCAAGUCGAACGUGAUUAGAGAGCUUGCUCUCUAUGAAAGUGGCGCACGGGUGAGUAACGCGUAGAUAAUCUGCCUGAUUGGUCUGGGAUAACACUUCGAAAGGGGUGCUAAUACCGGAUAAGCCCACGGAGACCUUGGUCUUUGCGGGAAAAGGGGGGGACCUUCGGGCCUUCUGCCAUCGGUUGAGUCUGCGUACCAUUAGCUAGUUGGUAGGGUAAAGGCCUACCAAGGCGACGAUGGUUAGCUGGUCUGAGAGGAUGAUCAGCCACACUGGAACUGAGACACGGUCCAGACUCCUACGGGAGGCAGCAGUGGGGAAUUUUGCGCAAUGGGGGAAACCCUGACGCAGCAACGCCGCGUGAGUGAUGAAGGCUCUUGGGUCGUAAAGCUCUGACAGAGGGAAAGAAAUGUGGGUGGCUAAUAUCCAUACCACUUGACGGUACCCUCAAAGGAAGCACCGGCUAACUCCGUGCCAGCCGCCGCUGUAA
rnacentral:rRNA from 1 species